ensembl:snoRNA SNORD97 small nucleolar RNA SNORD97
AUGCCCGCUGAUUAUGAAAAGACGCGUUAUUCUGAGGGGAAACGGCUGCCAGUGCUCUUUCUCUUCUUGUCUACCUUUUUUUUUAUUUUUUUUUUUUUAAAAAACUCUCCUUCCAUCUCACCUCUGUACCUGGUUGGCAAUCCAGUGAAAGUCAUUAUGUUGAUAUGAGGGCAU